rnacentral:lncRNA from 1 species
GACUUCAUUUUCUCUUUCGGUUUCACUUUGGUAUUUGCUGGACAGACUGCUGCCACGCAGGCUGUCUAGGUCACUCUGUUGCUUUCUGCUCCUGUGAUGAUACCAUGGCCAAGACAAAUUAGGAGAUUAAAGGUAUAUUCCAGGUAUUCCUGAUCUCUCCAAGACAUUUCUAAUGAAGGGAUGUACAGAACCUGGAAGCAACCUAGAUGCCCCUCAACUGAAGAAUGGAUGGAGAAAAUGUGUUGCAUUUACACAAUGGAGUACUACUCAGCAGGAAAAAAAAAACAAUGGAAUCUUGAAAUUUGUAGGAAAAUGGAUGGAACUAGAAGAAACCAUCCUGAGUGAGGUAACUCAAUCAUAAAAUGACAAAAUGGCCAUCCUAGAGCCUUCAUCCAGUAACUGAUGGAAGCAGAAGCAGAUACCCACAGCUAAACACUGAGCUGAAUUCUGGAAUCUUGUUGCAGAGAGAGAGGAGUGAUGAGAAAAGGUGCCACAACCAGGCUGGAGAAAUCCACAGAAACUGCUGACCUGAACACGUUGUUACUCGUGGAACCCAGACUGAUACCUGGAAAACCAGCAUAGGACUGUUCCAGACCCCCUGAAGGAGGAUGUCAGUUUGGAGGUCUGGGCAAUCUAUGGGGCCUCUCUUAGUGGAUUAGUAUUUAUCCCUAGUACAGCAAUGGACUUUUGGAGCUCACUCCACAUAGAGGGAUACUCUCUCAGCCUAGACACACUGGGGAGAGUCUAGGGCCUGCUCCAAAUGAUAUGACAGACUCUGAAGAUUCCCCCAUGGAAGGCUUCACCCUCCCUGGGGAACAGAAAGCGCUUGGGAUAAGGGGUCAGGGUAAGGGAGGAGGGGGUGAGAGGGAACUGGCAUUGACAUGUAAAAGAAGCUUGUUUCUAAUUUAAAAUUGGUCUAGUUACAAUUCUAAAAAUAAAAAUUUAAAAAAAUUAUAAACCAUUUAGAAAAGAAAAAAAUCAUGACAAGACCUUAUUCUUCAUGCUGGCAGCAUCCUACGCCAAGAACUCAUCUCAUUUCUGUGACAUUAAUCAACUCUGAAUUGACUAAUAUAUGUGGCUUCAGAUUCUUCAGAAAGAUAAUGAUAUUUAUCUACUAGGUAGUCCUAAUGGUUUUGUGCUCUGAUUUAAUUUUCCUCAUGGACUUGUUAUGGAUUUUGAAGAGUACCAGUGGCAGAAUUGAGGAGUAGAGUCAGAAACGCUGGGGAGUUCAAUCGAUCAUCACUCAUUUUUGUUUUCUCAUUCCUGGCCACAGUCUUAGUUGUUGAUAUUGGACAGCUUUUCAGUCCACAGUGACACUCUGUGGUGGUUAAGCAGACAACAGCAAAAGUUCAGGGAGCAAAAUCUCAUCUGUUCGUCUGGCAUUAGAAUUCUGGGCACCUGAUUUGAAUAAAUCAAUAUGCAAUUGUCUUUUCUAGGAAAUCAUUCUUAGUUUAUAAUGAGUAUAACACUUUGAAUGCUGUCUCACCAUCACAGUUGCUUCCACUGGGCAUUUGAUCACAGAAGAAAAUUGGCCUGGUUAUUGGGAAUGCCUGAAAGACAAACAGGUUUAUCAAAAUUUCCACCCUUUGUAAAUUCAGAAAAGAAACUGUACAUAGACACACAUUUCUGCUUUCAAUUUUAUCAUCCACCAUGGGAGCAGUAAUGUGAAAAGUGAAUGAUAAGACUGAGAAUAUAAAUGCAAUCUGAUGUAAUUUUAUUCAUAUACAUUUAAAUGUUAAUACUAGUAAUUGACUAAUUUAUUGAGAACUUUUACAUGUGCCCAUAUCAGGUAAUUAUGAAAAUCUGCUUUAACUAUUCAUGUAGGAUAUCCUUUUACAAGUCUGACUGGGAUAAAAGUAUAUAUCUUCCUAUUUGCCUCCUCAGUGCUCAGACUACAGAUGUGAGCCUCUAGGUCUAGCAUGAGUCUACUUUUCAACUGCAAAUUGUAUUAUAUUUAAAUAAGCAUUACUGAAACAGUAAAAUUUGUCAUACAAACUUUAGUUGGUUAUAAAACUAUAUUACACUCAAUUUCAAUACUUGAUUAAAAAUGUAAAGAAUCUCAAUCAUGAUUUUAACAUUCAUUUUAUGCUGACAUGAUAGUUUGUAAAUAAUGAAUUCAAAUGCAUUUCUAUUAAAUAUAUAGUAUAAAUAUAUACAUAUCUAUACAAACCUUAGUGAGAAGGUAUGUAUACAUCUGUGUUCAUGUGCCUGUGGGGUUCAGAAGUUAUUAUCAAGUGUCUUCUAAGAUCAUUCUCCAUCUUAAGUAUUGAGGCAGGGUCUCUCACUAAACUAAAGUUCACUAGUAAUUUACUCAGGAA